UACGUAGGGGGCAAGCGUUGUCCGGAAUCAUUGGGCGUAAAGCGCGUGUAGGCGGUCCGGUAAGUCCGCUGUGAAAGUCCAGGGCUCAACCCUGGGAUGCCGGUGGAUACUGUCGGGCUAGAGUACGGAAGAGGCGAGUGGAAUUCCCGGUGUAGCGGUGAAAUGCGCAGAUAUCGGGAGGAACACCAAUUGCGAAGGCAGCUCGCUGGGACGUUACUGACGCUGAGGAGCGAAAGCGUGGGGAGCGAACAGG
rnacentral:rRNA from 1 species